rnacentral:rRNA from 1 species
AUUGAACGCUGGCGGCAGGCCUAACACAUGCAAGUCGAACGACUGGCGGACGGGUGAGUAAUGUCUGUGAAACUGCCCGAUGGAGGGGGAUAACGACUGGAAACGGUAGCUAAUACUGCAUACCACCGAAUGUGCCCAGAUGGGAUUAGCUAGUAGGGGGGGUAACGGCUCACCCAGGCGACGAUCCCUAGCUGGUCUGAGAGGAUGACCAGCCACACUGGAACUGAGACACGGUCCAGACUCCUACGGGAGGCAGCAGUGGGGAAUAUUGCACAAUGGGCGCAAGCCUGAUGCAGCCAUGCCGCGUGUGUGAAGAAGGCCUUCGGGUUGUAAAGCACUUUCAGCGAGGAGGCGUUACUCGCAGAAGAAGCACCGGCUAACUCCGUGCCAGCAGCCGCGGUAAUAC